AAUGGACCCGGUGAAACCCCGGGUGGCUCUUCUGGCCGCCAAUCCGCCAGACACUC
rnacentral:ncRNA from 1 species